ACUAGUACCAAUCCAAAUCACCAGGCGUGAUCCCAUCACUAGUACCAAUCCAAAUCACCAGGCAUGAUCCCAUCACUAGUAUCAAUCCAAAUCACCAGGCGUGAUCCCAUCACUAGUACCAAUCCAAAUCACCAGGCGUGAUCCCAUCACUAGUAUCAAUCCAAAUCACCAGGCGUGAUCCCAUCACUAGUACCAAUCCAAAUCACCAGGUGUGAUCCUAUCACUAGUACCAAUCCAAAUCACCAGGCGUGAUCCCAUCACUAGUACCAAUCCAAAUCACCAGGCGUGAU